UAGGGAAUCUUCCGCAAUGGGCGAAAGCCUGACGGAGCAACGCCGCGUGAGUGAUGAAGGUCUUCGGAUCGUAAAACUCUGUUAUUAGGGAAGAACAAAUGUGUAAGUAACUAUGCACGUCUUGACGGUACCUAAUCAGAAAGCCACGGCUAACUACGUGCCAGCAGCCGCGGUAAUACGUAGGUGGCAAGCGUUAUCCGGAAUUAUUGGGCGUAAAGCGCGCGUAGGCGGUUUUUUAAGUCUGAUGUGAAAGCCCACGGCUCAACCGUGGAGGGUCAUUGGUAACUGGAAAACUUGAGUGCAGAAGAGGAAAGUGGAAUUCCAUGUGUAGCGGUGAAAUGCGCAGAGAUAUGGAGGAACACCAGUGGCGAAGGCGACUUUCUGGUCUGUAACUGACGCUGAUGUGCGAAAGCGUGGGGAUCAAACAGG
rnacentral:rRNA from 1 species